GAUGAACGCUGGCUACAGGCUUAACACAUGCAAGUCGAGGGGAAACGCCGGGGAAGCUUGCUUCCCCGGGCGUCGACCGGCGCACGGGUGAGUAACGCGUAUCCAACCUGCCUCUGACUGAGGGAUAACCCGUCGAAAGUCGGCCUAAUACCUCAUGGCAUCGUCUGCGGGCAUCCAACGACGAUUAAAGAUUUCAUCGGUCAGAGAUGGGGAUGCGUCUGAUUAGCUUGUUGGCGGGGUAACGGCCCACCAAGGCGACGAUCAGUAGGGGUUCUGAGAGGAAGGUCCCCCACAUUGGAACUGAGACACGGUCCAAACUCCUACGGGAGGCAGCAGUGAGGAAUAUUGGUCAAUGGGCGAGAGCCUGAACCAGCCAAGUAGCGUGCAGGAUGACGGCCCUAUGGGUGGUAAACUGCUUUUAUGCGGGGAUAAAGUGAGGGACGUGUCCUUCAUUGCAGGUACCGCAUGAAUAAGGACCGGCUAAGUCCGUG
rnacentral:rRNA from 1 species